rnacentral:hammerhead_ribozyme from 1 species
AUUCAGCUGACGAGUUCUAAAUAGAGCGAAACGCGUGCCCUGGAU